ACCCGCGGCGCAUUAGCUAGUUGGUGGGGUAAUGGCUCACCAAGGCGACGAUGCGUAGCCGACCUGAGAGGGUGAUCGGCCACACUGGGACUGAGACACGGCCCAGACUCCUACGGGAGGCAGCAGUAGGGAAUCUUCCGCAAUGGACGAAAGUCUGACGGAGCAACGCCGCGUGAGUGAUGAAGGUUUUCGGAUCGUAAAGCUCUGUUGUUAGGGAAGAACAAGUGCGAGAGUAACUGCUCGCACCUUGACGGUACCUAACCAGAAAGCCACGGCUAACUACGUGCCAGCAGCCGCGGUAAUACGUAGGUGGCAAGCGUUGUCCGGAAUUAUUGGGCGUAAAGGGCUCGCAGGCGGUUUCUUAAGUCUGAUGUGAAAGCCCCCGGCUCAACCGGGGAGGGUCAUUGGAAACUGGGAAACUUGAGUGCAGAAGAGGAGAGUGGAAUUCCACGUGUAGCGGUGAAAUGCGUAGAGAUGUGGAGGAACACCAGUGGCGAAGGCGACUCUCUGGUCUGUAACUGACGCUGAGGAGCGAAAGCGUGGGGAGCGAACAGGAUUAGAUACCCUGGUAGUCCACGCCGUAAACGAUGAGUGCUAAGUGUUAGGGGGUUUCCGCCCCUUAGUGCUGCAGCUAACGCAUUAAGCACUCCGCCUGGGGAGUACGGUCGCAAGACUGAAACUCAAAGGAAUUGACGGGGGCCCGCACAAGCGGUGGAGCAUGUGGUUUAAUUCGAAGCAACGCGAAGAACCUUACCAGGUCUUGACAUCCUCUGACAACCCUAGAGAUAGGGCUUUCCCUUCGGGGACAGAGUGACAGGUGGUGCAUGGUUGUCGUCAGCUCGUGUCGUGAGAUGUUGGGUUAAGUCCCGCAACGAGCGCAACCCUUGAUCUUAGUUGCCAGCAUUCAGUUGGGCACUCUAAGGUGACUGCCGGUGACAAACCGGAGGAAGGUGGGGAUGACGUCAAAUCAUCAUGCCCCUUAUGACCUGGGCUACACACGUGCUACAAUGGACAGAACAAAGGGCUGCAAGACCGCAAGGUUUAGCCAAUCCCAUAAAUCUGUUCUCAGUUCGGAUCGCAGUCUGCAACUCGACUGCGUGAAGCUGGAAUCGCUAGUAAU
rnacentral:rRNA from 1 species